rnacentral:sRNA from 1 species
AGAUCUGCAGCCCCACUUAUCACCACGGUUGCUUCGGUUGAUCUGGCUGGCUAGGCAGGUUU